GAUCAUGGCUCAGGAUGAACGCUAGCUACAGGCUUAACACAUGCAAGUCGAGGGGCAGCAUGGUCUUAGCUUGCUAAGGCCGAUGGCGACCGGCGCACGGGUGAGUAACACGUAUCCAACCUGCCGUCUACUCUUGGACAGCCUUCUGAAAGGAAGAUUAAUACGAGAUGGCAUCAUGGGUCCGCAUGUUCACAUGAUUAAAGGUAUUCCGGUAGACGAUGGGGA
rnacentral:rRNA from 1 species